CCAAUAGCGUAUAUUAAAGUUGCUGCGGUUAAAAAGCUCGUAGUUGAAUUUCGGAAUUGAUGCAUCGGUCGUGCCUUAAGGGGCAUGAGCUGGUGUAGCCAAUUUCUCACCUUCUGGUGAAUUGUGAUGUCCUUAAUGGGUGUCUCAAUGAACUAGAAUUUUUUACUUUGAAAAAAUUAGAGUGUUUAAAGCAGGCAUUGAUUUGCUUGAAUACAUUAGCAUGGAAUAAUGAAAUAGGACAGUGGUUCCGUUUUGUUGGUUUCUAGGAUAACGUAAUGAUUAAUAGGGACAGUUGGGGGCAUUAGUAUUCGAUUGUCAGAGGUGAAAUUCUUGGAUUUAUUGAAGACUAACUAUUGCGAAAGCAUUUGCCAAGGAUGUUUUCAUUAAUCAAGAACGAAAGUUAGGGGAUCAAAGACGAUUAAGUACGUCGUAGUCCUAACCAUAAACUAUACCGACUAGGAAUCAGACGAUGUUAAUUUUUUAAUGACUCGUUUGGUACCUUACG
rnacentral:rRNA from 1 species